UUAUUCGGAUUAGCUGGUGGGGGGUAACGCUUCACCAAGGGGACGAUCCGUAGCUGUUUGGGAGGAUGAUCACCCCCGCUGGGACUGAGACCCGGCCCAGAUUCCUACGGGAGGCAGCAGUGGGAAUUUUGGACAAUGGACGAAAGCCUGAUCCAGCCAUGCCGCGUGUUGAAGAAGGCUUUCGGGUUGUAAAGCACUUUCAGUGGGGAAGAAGGCUUGUCGGCCAAUUCCCGGCAAGAGCGACAUCACCCACAGAAGAAGCACCGGCUAAUUCCGUGCCAGCAGCCGCGGUAAUACGGAGGGUGCAAGCGUUAAUCGGAAUUACUGGGCGUAAAGCGCGCGUAGGCGGCUUGUCACGCCGGGUGUGAAAGCCCCGGGCUCAACCUGGGAACGGCAUCCGGAACGGGCAGGCUAGAGUGCAGGAGAGGAAGGUAGAAUUCCCGGUGUAGCGGUGAAAUGCGUAGAGAUCGGGAGGAAUACCAGUGGCGAAGGCGGCCUUCUGGACUGACACUGACGCUGAGGUGCGAAAGCGUGGGUAGCAAACAGGAUUAGAUACCCUGGUAGUCCACGCCGUAAACGAUGUCGACUAGCCGUUGGGUCCCUUGAGGACUUAGUGGCGCAGUUAACGCGAUAAGUCGACCGCCUGGGGAGUACGGCCGCAAGGUUAAAACUCAAAUGAAUUGACGGGGGCCCGCACAAGCGGUGGAGCAUGUGGUUUAAUUCGAUGCAACGCGAAGAACCUUACCUACCCUUGACAUCCUGCGAACCCGGAAGAGAUUCCGGGGUGCCUUCGGGAGCGCAUAGACAGGUGCUGCAUGGCUGUCGUCAACUCGUGUUGUGAAAUGUUGGGUUAAGUCCCGUAACGAGCGCAACCCUUGUCCCUAUUUGCCGACGAUUCGGUCGGGAACUCUAGGGAGACUGCCGGUGACAAACCGGAGGAAGGUGGGGACGACGUCAAGUCAUCAUGGCCCUUACGGGUAGGGCUACACACGUGCUACAAUGGCCGGUACAAAGGGUUGCGAAGCCGCGAGGUGAAGCCAAUCCCAGAAAGCCGGCCUCAGUCCGGAUUGGAGUCUGCAACUCGACUCCAUGAAGUCGGAAUCGCUAGUAAUCGUGCAUCAGAAUGGCACGGUGAAUACGUUCCCGGGCCUUGUACACACCGCCCGUCACACCAUGGGAGUGGACUGCACCAGAAGUGGUUAGCCUA
rnacentral:rRNA from 1 species